CUGCCCUCCAAGGCUUGCACACAGUAAGGAGACAGACUCGUGAACACUAGCAGUGUGGUAAGCACCAAGAUUCAGCAGAGUAAACUGAGGCUCAGAAGUCAGGCAUCCUGAGGACCAGCCUGGGACAAGGGAGAAGCAGGCCCCCUCUCCUGUCUCAGACAAUGAGAACCACAGAGAAGAGACAGAGGGUAAUCCAGGAGACCCAGGAGGAGGGUCCGCCCAGCAGGACAGUGAAGGAAGCAGAACAAAGCAGAGGGAGGUGGCAGCUGCCUGCAGAUCUCUGAAGGACAGAAGAGUCGGAAGGAACCAAGAUUUCUCAAGAGUCUCCUCUGGGCCAAGCCCUUAAAAGACAGAGCUGCUUGAGCAGCCCCAAGCAACGAGGGACUAUGGAGAAGUUUGGCGGAGGUAAGAAGUCAUCUUCUGAAACCCUGCCCCACCCUGUGUCUCCAGGUCUAGAAGGCAUCACCCUGCAUGACCCCGACUUUUUCCUCUACUUCACAGAAGUUGUCACCAAGUCAGCUCAAGGCCACCAUCUGGCAAACCCAUCCCCUCCUCUCCAGCCCCACUCUUGCCCUAGAUGCCCCUGUCACUGCAUGUCUGCAACUGAGCAGUCUCCCCCAGUCUCCCACCUCCACCCUCACUCUCGGGUACAUGCUUCGCCUGGUCCUGUGCUUCCAGAGCAGUGUCUUUCAACGGCCACCAGGUCCUAUAACAUCGGAAUUCCCAAGACACUUUAAGACUUGACCACCUCCUCCAGGAUCUUCCUUCAAUGGCUCCUCUGCAGAGGAUAUCUCUCCCUCCCCUGAGCACCUGCACCAGGCCUGUGGCUCACAUCACCUCCCACCUCUUACUGGAGGCCCAUGGAACCCAUCUCUGUAUUCAUUUCUAGUCUGAAGGAACCUCCUGAGGACAGAGGCCAUGUGCCCCACAGCGCUGGGUCCAUGGCUUGUCACAGAACUGAUGGAUGGUGGAGGAGGAGGGAUGAACAGAGAAGAGCGGACACGCUGCUGAAUAUAAACAGUUCUGGAAAUUGUAUCUUAGGGAAGGAGCCUGAA